AUGAAGACGAGCAUAACAUUUGCGGCAAAUGGUUUUGUCUUGAUUGCAUUUCCUCGACAAAGCCAUCAAAGAAGGUUCAAUGAUUCCACCACAAAGUUAACAUCCAACAAGAUGAAGAGAAGAUUCCUUCUGGAUAUUUUAAUCAGUCAAGGUGUGCCCAUCUCCAAGCUGCUUACCGGCGAAAAUCAAACGCUGCUGAUCCGGAGGGAUACCUUGUUUAUCUUGAAUCUUGGUCUUGACAUUGUCGAUGGUGUCGCUGCUCUCGACCUCGAGGGUGGUGGUUUUCCCAUUUAA